rnacentral:lncRNA from 1 species
CCCUGUCUAAAUCCUACCCGAUACCCGAUCGAAUAAGAAAAGAGAUAUCUAUCUCCAUACCUAACGGGUUCGAAGAUACCCACGGAUAAUCUAUUUUUCUAUACCCAACCCAUAUCCGCCCCAUGCCUAUCCCAUAUCCAAAAAAAAUAAACAACCAAAAUAAUUUUAUGCAUAUUAUCAAUCAAAAUAAAAUUACUAAUUCAACAUAGAAC